ACAGAGGGUGCGAGCGUUGUCCGGAAUCACUGGGCGUAAAGGGCGCGUAGGCGGCUUGAUAAGGUUGCGGUGAAAGCCCGGGGCUCAACCCCGGGUCGGCCGUGGCAACUGUCGAGCUGGAGCACUGUAGAGGCAGGUGGAAUUCCUGGUGUAGCGGUGAAAUGCGUAGAUAUCAGGAGGAACACCUGUGGUGUAGACAGCUUACUGGACCACUUCUGACGCUGAGACACGAAAGCGUGGGUAGCAAACAGGA
rnacentral:rRNA from 1 species